ensembl:lncRNA
GAAUAAAAUAGUCAAUAUAGAGUUGCUACCGAUAGUCCGGCUAGUGUCCGGUCCGGCUUGUGUCCGGUCAGGGAUAAGUAAUAGUAGACCUAGAAUAACCCGAGGGUCCGGCUUGUGUCCGGUCAGGGAUAAGUAAUAGUAGACCUAGAAUAACCCGAGGGUCCGGCUUGUGUCCGGUCAGGGAUAACUAACAAUAAAUAUAGAAUAUUCCGAUAGUCCGGCUUGUGUCCGGUCCGGCUGAGACCGGUCAGGAAUAAAAUAGUCAAUAUAGAGUUGCUACCGAUAGUCCGGCUAGUGUCCGGUCCGGCUUGUGUCCGGUAAGGUGAUCUAUAAUUGGGCAUAGAUUUAACCAAUAGCCAGGCUUGUGACCGGUGAGGUGUCUACAAAAUGUUAAUAUAUAUUGAAUCUCUAAUUAGGCAUAGAUAUAACCAAUAGCCAGGCUUGUGACCGGUGAGGUGUCUACAAAAGAUUAAUAUAUGUUGGACUGAAAAGUCCGCUUUGUGUUUGGUCUGAAUUGAUGUGAUAAAUGUACAAUUGUGUGACGUCGCAAAAUAUGUUGUUCUAAUGCUAUGUGCAUGUAAGAAUAUUCGUGUAUCGACUAUAGAAUAAAUGUAAACAGAGUUUCACAAGACCCUGCUAUUAUUUCCUAAAUUCUAAAAGUACUUAUCAAUCAUUGAACCAUUAUUAAUGUAAAUUCUGGAUAUAUGACGGAGAAGCUCUGAGUUAAGGCAGAGUACGAGUAAUAGUGUCUCCUAAGAAUACAUCACUGGUGUGAGCUAGUGACGAGCUAAGUAUAUUCAGAUAGUGUGCAAAAUAUUUCUAAAAACUCAAAAUGGCGACUCCGCAACCUCCCAAAUUAAAAUUCAAUGAUUUUCUAGACCAACGUAUGCAAGAUAGGUCAGGAGGAAAGGAACAGUGGAAGUCAAUAAAGAAGGUUUGGGAAGGGUUGAAGUUGAAGUGGACACAGGCAGGUUAUUUAGUAGGGGGAACGCCAAAUAGGGUCCAGCUUAGCACAAUGGAAGGCGAGUUGCGUGAAGCAUUACAGGAAGCUAAAGACAAAGAGAUAGAACAGAACAAGCUGCAUGUAUUUAAGAAGGAAGGGACAAAGACAGAGAAAGAGCAGAAGCUGAAUUCAAAAUAGGCACUUGGGCUGUUGAGGAGAUCCACAGAGCACAACUGAAAACUAAACCGGAAAUCAUGGGGAUAGUCACUGGGACGGAGGCGGAGUCAUCAAGAAAAAGGGACUAAACAGAGAGAAAGGGCAGAAGUGGAACUGAAGAUAGGAACUUGGGCCAUCGAAGAGGCGCUAAGAGCACAACUGAAUAAAAAAACGGAAAUGAUGGGGGUGGCCACUCCCUCACAAGGGGAAGAUGAGCAGACGGACCACCACCAGGAGAUGGCGCCAAAUCCAUUUCCCUCUGCCCCGCCAACACAUGUGCCCUCAACGACCCGACCCCUUUACCCAGUCCUAUCAAAUUUGCCUCCACCUUAUACUGAUAAGGGGAAAAGGGCCGGGCCCGCGUCAACACAGGCCCCUGUGUUCCUUGUAAAAGAAGGAGUACUCCAAGGGGAUACGUUGAUCAAAGGGGGCCACCUGGAGUGUGAAGAAUUAAAGCCUGGCCCAUAGGGUUACUCCACACCAGGGGGUGCACAAAGGUGCACACCAGGGCCAUCUGACAUGCAUGCCCCUCGAUCUAUGCGAGAACAGCUCCGCCCCAGUGGCCACACGAGGAAUCCAUUCAUAGAUGGAGCAGGGGGCAACGGGAGCAGCUUGAAGUCAGAGGGGAGGGGAACCCCCACCUCCUGCACAUCCAGUGUGUACAGAGAACAUAGAGGGGAACCAAGGAGCGAUAUUAGUCUCUGAAGGCUAAGAUAGCCAAGGUGUGUGCAGGUACAAAACUGACAUGGGUGGAGGCCCUGCCACUGGCGUUGAUGGCCAUGAGGUCAUCACCUGGGGCAGGGACUCAUCUCUCACCCCACUAAAUAAUGACAGGAAGAGUAAUGCCAGGUCCACCAAGAGAGGGAGGUCAUAUGCCCCCUCUUGAUGUACACCAGAUAGGUAUGACUGACUAUGUAAGAAAAUUGACGGAACUGUCCGCAGCUCUUUCCAAACAGAUACACAAAGUCCAUGGGGGGGAGCUGACGGGAGAUCCAGAGCAACCAAGGGUAAAGGUCGGAGACUGGGUAAGGAUCAAGGUCCACAAGAGAAAGUGGCAGGAUCCCAGGUGGACUGGACCGUACGAAGUGAAGGAGGUUACUUCACACUCAGUCCAGGUCAAAGGUAAAUCAGGCUGUCGCUUGUCAUACAAUAGAUCUCUUUGUCCGAAUCGUUCCUUGACCGACUCGUCCACCUGCACAUCUCAUUUUAUCAACAUAUUCCGUCUUGUAUGUUUAUUGAAAACAUACAUAAAUUAAACUUUGAAAAUACAUCAUUACAAGUUGUUGGUAAGCUAGCGAAAUUUAGCCAUAUUAGCAUUGACGGGAAAUCAGUCAAAACACCUCAAAACAAGACAUGCUAUUAAUAACAAGAUAAAACUAGCCAUUUACGAUGCCCACAUGGCAGUUUCUUGUCAUUCUAGUCAUUGCUAGCAAUCUGGCCAUCCAGAAUCACAACAACACACUGACUUCUGCCCCAUGGAAGUACGUACAUCGUGUUCGUGAUGUUGUCAACCCAUCUAUGGAGAGUUGGAUAUAUCCACACAAGUUAAACAUCCUGCAUAGCAUAAGCAUAGCAUACCAAUCACUGAUUAUCAGAGAGGUAUCUCUAACCUCAUCUUUGACCAAUUUUCAACACCUUUUUCAGACCUCAAACUGUUGUCUAUCAUUUGCAGCCAGAGAUAGCAGUAUAUAUUAUUAAAUUAAUGAUAUAUACCCAUUGUUUCUUAAAGAUUAUAAACUGGGUGGCUCGAUCCCUGAAUGCUGAUUGGCUGAGAACAGUGGUAUAUCAG